rnacentral:antisense_RNA from 1 species
CUUCUGCUUAAGCAUGCAGGUGAGAAGGGAAGAUACGUGUAAUCUGCAUGUCUGCCAACAUUCCUUGUUACCCUUUUUCAUAUCCCAUGAACACAGCACUCCAGCGGACCUACCCAAAAUAUGUGGGAGUUCAGUGAAACUCAAACAGCAUGCUUCUGGUCAGCCUAUACAGUCUCUGUCCUGGUGAGGAGCAUGAUCACCAACAGGCAAGAUCUUCUGGCCUCGAAGUUUCGCUUGAGCUAAAAGAGCUCAUCUCAGGACUUUCUGAAUUUUCAGCCCAUAUGACAUGGAAGAAGAGUUAGAAGGGGAAUCUGACUGCUUGGAUCAGGGACUGUCUGGCUAGUGGAACUUGAAUGUAUACAACACUCUUCAUUUUCAUGUUUUGACAUUUUAAAAAAUGUUUUCACUUUCCUUAUCUACUUUGACUCUAAUAACAUCCUGAAAGAUGCUGUUGUCCUCUUUCUGGACCUUAGAGAUGUACAGUGCACCACUUUGAGGAUCAAGUCUGACCCUGCCUUUAAAUUUGGAUUCAAAGUACUUAGAUUUUCUGGAAUCCCAUUCUACAAUCUUCUGGUCGAAAGUAUAAAACCAGUCUGCAGGUGUACCCAACAGCUCCGAAGAGACAGUGACAUCAAGAACGGGCCAUGAUGAUGAUGGCGGUUUUGUCGAAAAGAAAAGGGGGAAAUGUGGGGAAAAGCAAGAGAGAUCAGAUUGUUACUGUGUCUGUAUAGAAAGAAGUAGACAUAGGAGACUCCAUUUUGUUCUGUACUAAGAAAAAUUCUUCUGCCUUGAGAUGCUGUUAAUCUAUGACCUUACCCCCAACCCCGUGCUCUCUGAAACAUGUGCUGUGUCAAACUCAGGGUUAAAUGGAUUAAGGGCGGUGCAAGAUGUGCUUUGUUAAACAGAUGCUUGAAGGCAGCAUG